UUAAAACUGUUGCUGCAAAAUCACUUCUCAAUGUGUGUACAUGUCAAGCGUUCAACAACAAUAAACCAACCAGCUCAAUAAUGUUUCUCAGACUUACACACUGUUGAGUUUUUCUAGUUAGUAAAGAAACAACCACUAAGCCAAAACACAAAAAAAGUUGUAAUAUAAUAUGUAUACAAGUCAUUCUAUACGGAAAACAGGUACAUUUUGAUUGAUCAAGAAUUCCCAAUAGGUUUGUGUCACGCCCGGACCAUAGUUUGCUAUGUAUGUUUAUAGGUUUUGUUGGGUAUGGUGGGGUGAUCUGAGUGGGCAUUCUAUGCUGUAUGUCUAGUUUGUCUUUUUCUGUGUCUGGCCUGAUUGAUUGAAAACCCUGAGGCCGGUGUUAGUCGUUGUCUCUGAUUGGGAACCAUAUUUAGUAGGUAGCCUUUGUUGUCAUUGUUGGGUGAUUGUCUGUUAGGUGCUUGUGUCAGCACAUUUGGUAUAUAGCGUCACGGUAGUUGUUCAUUUAGUGGCUUGUUCACUUUACUUUGUGUUUGCGUCAUCCAUUAAAACGAUGCAUUCACACCACGCAGCGCUUUGGUCCGCUUCUUAUUACCCAUGAAGAUCGUGACAGCUUGAUCUGAUCCUCAACCCUAUUACGACAGCAUAUAAUGCACAGUCAUAUGCAAAACCAUAACUCUGACAAGAAAACAAUGAAAACCGUAACACGACUACACGCAUUGCCAUUAUUUUAGUUAACAGCCACCCAUGGGUGAAUUUGGUACUUUUUCUUUGUACAUGCACCAAGCCUCCAAGGGGGGUGACAACCGUAUUCCUAAUGAGAAAUAUAGUCUAAUAAAACAAAUGUCUGCAUAAUGAAAGACAUGAAAACUCUAGCCAACAAUGUAUUUUGAGCUGUUUUAAACGGGGAUAUUGUCAGUAAGGUCACUGAGACUAACAUAGACAAUAGUUAUUGUGGGAGGUUUAGGGUUAAAAUAUAUGGGAAGGAUCAGGAAUGUUAGAGAUUUGGUCACUGGGGCGAUUUUGAAAGAGGGAGAUUAGAACCACAAAGUAAUAGGGGGUAAGAGAUCCUAAAGGUAAUUUCAUAUUUCGGUUUAGGUGUUAUUAACUUUAUGGAAAACAAUAUUCCCACUAUGUGGAUUAUAAACAUGUACAUACAUAGAGAGCCAACACAUCAAUAUAUAACAGGGAUGAGUGGGGAUUCAUAGUACAACAGGAGGCUUCGGUAACCUGCAAUACGUGUUAAAUAUGUUUUACAUACAUCCACUACUGAAUGGUUUCACAAACGACCUUUAAAGGUUUUGUAAGAAAGUUGUAACAGGCCUCAUUCAUUCACCAGUCUAGAGAGGAACCCAGAGACACCAAAAACAUCAACGUUUAGAGCAGCUUGGAGAUUAUUAGCCAUGUAAGGGGGGAGCAAAGAUGACAACCGUAUACCUAAUGAGAAAUAUAGUCUAAUAAAACAAAUGUCUGCAUAAUGAAAGACAUGAAAACUGUAGCCAACAAUGUAUUUUGAGCUGUUUUAAACGGGGAUAUUGUCAGUAAGGUCACUGAGACUAACAAUAGACAAUAGUUAUUGUGGGCGGUUUAGGGUUAAAAUAUAUGGGAAGGAUCAGGAAUGUUAGAGAUUUAGUCCCUAAUGCAUCCAAGUCACCCGUUGUGUCCGUUGUCCAUCAUACCUAAAAAAUAAUAAUAAAAAAUAAAAAUAAAACGUUGUCCCCCCCUGUUUAAAACACAAAUAACUCGGGUACAGUCGCUUCCCAAUCACCUAUGUCCAGUAGCCUUCAGAAAUAUCUAUUAGGCUGGAUUCACUUAUUCACAUCUCUUUUUUAAUCUGUCCUGGCAGCUAAAUAUUCGGGGCUGUGGGUUUGCGCUAAAGCUGUGGUAACUGUAUUAAAGUAUAUGCUCCACGUUCUGUCCCUAACUAGGGGGGUGUUUCGAGACAUUUUUUGUUUUAUAAUGGUUACAUGUUCAUUACACACCUAUGCAUUCUAUAUUAUUAAGUAGGCUGUUGGUCUUUUGAGGUCCGUUAUGUCAAUUUGCCUUUAUACAUCUCAUUGACCUACUGUCAACUCCCUCAGUUGUAAACAUCUACAAUAAUCAUUAGACGUACGCGUCAGAGUUAUCAUACCCCUUGUCGGGGUUUGUACAGAGUUGGUUAAAUCCGCUCUUUUGCUCCCCACUUACAUGGCUAAUAAUCUCCAAGCUGCUCUAAGCGGUGUUGUUUGAGUGAAUAUUGUUUUACAUAAAGUUAAUAACCCCCCUAAACCGAUAUAUGAAAUGACCUCUGCCCCUAUCUAUAAAGCGUGAGAUACAUUUUUAAAACCAGUGAUUUAAUUCAAAAGAUUUAGUACCUACAUUUUAACACAUUCCAAAAUGUUUACUAUUUCUUACAGAUAAAGGGUCCUGUUAGCCCCGACCUGUAACUGACAGUUAGACUUACAGGUUAUGUCGUUGUCUUUUGUUUGAAUUGUUUAUGUGUCCGCUGUGCGGGGGAAAUGAUAAUACAAGCGGAACUAUGUAGCUAAUACUGUUGUAACGGGGAUCCUUAUUGUAGCAACACACUUUUGGAGGGAAGGCAAUCAAUCCUGCGCUGCGUUAACUAAGUUUUCAUGUCAUCGGGUGUAGUUCAUAAAGGUUGAAGAGUGUAUGUUAGGAUGAAGUGUGAAUUCAUGCCAGGAAUAAUAAAUGUGAAGUUUGAUUUCCUCCCUUCUGUAAUAAGCAGCCAAUGAGUUCUCACGGAAGGGGAUAAUUCUCACUGAAACUACAGAAUAAAGCCGCCAGUUAAAAUCAAGGAACGGUUGUGCUCGUGGUUACUGAAGGGGGCUACAAGACCAUUAUCCGUUUCGAAUUCACCAACUCAAAGACGCUUGCCCGCUCCAUCAUAACUCCGUAAGUUUUCCCUCCCUGUGUAGAUCAAACGUCCUGCCUGUAAAUCCUGGGUAUGCCCACAUCAUUAAUGAAUAAGAUGUGUAGAAAACUGUUUAGCCAUAAUUAAAGGCCUUUCAUAAAGAGGCUGUCCUGAUUGCAUGUGCCACAUGUUUAACACGUAUUGCUUGUUACAGAAUACUACUGUUGUACAUCUAAUAUCCCCUAGCAGAUUUCGUUGCCUUUGCACAAAUUCUGUCAUGUUACUGUGGUCUUUUUAAAAGUCAAUAAAUAUGUGUGGAAAGUGUA